rnacentral:rRNA from 1 species
UACGUAGGGUCCGAGCGUUGUCCGGAAUUACUGGGCGUAAAGAGCUCGUAGGUGGUUUGUCGCGUUGUUCGUGAAAACUCACAGCUCAACUGUGGGCGUGCGGCGAUACGGGCAGACUUGAGUACUGCAGGGAGACUGGAAUUCCUGGUGUAGCGGUGGAAUGCGCAGAUAUCAGGAGGAACACCCGGUGGCGAAGGCGGUCUC